AACGAACGCUGGUGGCAUGCUUAAUACAUGCAAGUCGAACGAGAAAGGGCUUCGGCCUGAGUACAGUGGCGCACGGGUGAGUAACGCGUAGGUGACGUGCCCAUGAGUGGGGGAUAACAUAGGGAAACCUGUGCUAAUACCGCAUGUGUUGAACGAAUCUGAGAGUAGUUCAACAAAGAUGGCCUCUAUUUAUAAGCUAUCGCUAAUGGAACGGCCUGCGUAGCAUUAGCUUGUUGGUGGGGUAAUGGCU
rnacentral:rRNA from 1 species